rfam:Hordeum vulgare subsp. vulgare, WGS project CAJW01000000 data, contig: morex_contig_48283
UCCGCUGAGCUAUGAGGAGAUCACCUCCCACAUCCUCGUCGGCCUUGACAUCGACUACAAUCCCGUGGUGUCAUCUCUUUCUGCACGGAUCGAGCCGAUCACGGUUCAGGAGCUGUAUAUCUAGCUUAUAAGCUUCGAUG